UUAUUUUGUUAGAAAGCAAUUUCCUUCAGGCUUAGGUCAGAAUUUCUCUGAAAUAAAAUGGCAACAUAUCACUACUUUGUCACAAUUCUCAGUAAAUCAUUAGAGCUGUGAAAAAUAAAUUUCAUUUUUAACAAAACAUCUUUCUAGAUCAGGGUCAGCAAACUAUAUGGCCCGUGGGCUAAAUCUAGUACACUGCCUAUUUUUGUAUUUUUUACAUUUUAAAAUGUCCUUUUAGAAAAAUUAAAAGAAGAAGAAUAUUUUACAACACAAGAAAAUGAUGUGAAAUUCACAUUUCUGUGCCCAUAAAUAAAAUUUUAUUGGAACUCAGCCACACCUAUUCAUUUAUGUAUUAUCUUUGACUGCCUUCAUGCUACGAGAAUCGAAUAGUUGCAGCAGAGACCAUAUGGGCCACAAAGCCUAAAAUAUUUUCUACCUGGCCCUUUAUAUAAAAAGUUUUCCAUCUUCUGAUCUAGAUUCGAGAUCGAUGGUUUAUUUAAACUAUGUUAACUCUAAAAAACUGCCUCCAAGUUACCUCAAGUAAGAGGGAUUUAUCAUCAGGCUCCAGGUUUCCACAGAAAGAGCUGGGGCAAUCCUAGAGCAAGGUGCUGGCGUGCAGUAGGCUGCCGUCCUUGAGCGGAUGCCUCACUGACAGCGACGGAGUUCCAGCCAUGCUGCACUUGCUCCAGCCACUGACUUAGAGACAGCAACCUGUACAGGCACCAAGCAAAAGAAGAAAUCUGGAGAUCUCAAUGAGACCAGGAAAAUCUCUCUUCAAUAUUUCAAACCUUUCAAAAGCCAGGUUGGUUUUCAUUUCCUUAUCUUCCUACUGUUGACUGAGUUCUAGCUACGAGGUGCUGUGCUGAACACUUAGAUCCAUUGUGUCCUUGACUCUUCUUAAGAGUUCUGUGAGGUCAGUGUGAUUAUCUCCAUUUGACGGCUGAAUAAUCUGAGCCUCCAUUGUCCAAUCCACAUGCUCUUCGUGUUUCUGCCUUAGCUUCCAUCUGGAACAAAGAACACUGAUGAAUG
rnacentral:lncRNA from 10 species